AGCGGCGGACGGGUGAGUAACGCGUGGGUAACCUGCCUCAUACAGGGGGAUAACAGUUGGAAACGGCUGCUAAUACCGCAUAAGCGCACAGUACCGCAUGGUACGGUGUGAAAAACUCCGGUGGUAUGAGAUGGACCCGCGUCUGAUUAGGUAGUUGGUGGGGUAACGGCCCACCAAGGCGACGAUCAGUAGCCGGCCUGAGAGGGUGAACGGCCACAUUGGGACUGAGACACGGCCCAA
rnacentral:rRNA from 1 species